AGCAUAUGACUACUGGCAGGAUCAACCAGGUAGCAUUCCUUCGCGACACCGACGCCCGCAUGAGACCCGGCAGGCCGUAAGGCCGCGGGCUCAAGACGGGCACGGCAGUCGUUCGUGUCGAUGGACAAAUGCGUUGCUUGGGCAAACGGAGCUAAUAAAUAGACCCCGCACCCGCACAUAACAUUCUGCAUCCGAGAGCACGGGCAAUGCACCUCAUGGGCCGAGGCAGCGACGCAGCUGGGCGAAGCGUGCCGGGAACACGAGGCUUGCCUGAUGUCCACCCCAAAACCCGUGAGGGCAGGGAGCGGAAAGGGACUAACGAAACCAUCGGAUUCCUUUCGAUAGGUAAGCAACACAG
rnacentral:misc_RNA from 1 species